AGGAGUGGAGAGCUAUAAGGCAUCAACAAGACCAAGAGUAUGAGCAAUCACUGAGAGCGGAUCAGGAAAAGGAUCGGAGGACAGAAGAAAUAUCUGAAUAUGAAGAGAGGCGCCUUAGGAUAAUACAGGAAAGACUCAUGAGGACAAAUGAAGAACCAGCUGAUGGCAUACCAUUGAAAUUUACUUUCCCAGAUGGCACAGUGAA